GAUGAACGCUGGCGGCGUGCUUAGCACAUGCAAGUCGAGCGAAGCACUUUACUUUGAUUUCUUCGGAAUGAAGAGUGAUUUGACUGAGCGGCGGACGGGUGAGUAACGCGUGGGUAACCUGCCUCAUACAGGGGGAUAACAGUUAGAAAUGGCUGCUAAUACCGCAUAAGACCACGGUACUGCAUGGUACAGUGGUAAAACUCCGGUGGUAUGAGAUGGACCCCGCGUCUGACUAGGUAGUUGGUGGGGUAACGCCCACCAAGCCGACGAUCAGUAGCCGACCUGAGAGGGUGACCGGCACAUUGGGACUGAGAUACGGGCCCAAACUCCUACGGGAGGCAGCAGUGGGGAAUAUUGCACAAUGGGGGAAACCCUGAUGCAGCGACGCCGCGUGAA
rnacentral:rRNA from 1 species